GACGAACGCUGGCGGCGUGCUUAACACAUGCAAGUCGAACGGAAAGGCCCUGCUUUUGUGGGGUGCUCGAGUGGCGAACGGGUGGGUAACACGUGAGUAACCUGCCCUUGACUUUGGGAUAACUUCAGGAAACUGGGGCUAAUACCGGAUAGGAGCUCCUGCUGCAUGGUGGGGGUUGGAAAGUUUCGGCGGUUGGGGAUGGACUCGCGGCUUAUCAGCUUGUUGGUGGGGUAGUGGCUUACCAAGGCUUUGACGGGUAGCCGGCCUGAGAGGGUGACCGGCCACAUUGGGACUGAGAUACGGCCCAGACUCCUACGGGAGGCAGCAGUGGGGAAUAUUGCACAAUGGGCGGAAGCCUGAUGCAGCAACGCCGCGUGCGGGAUGACGGCCUUCGGGUUGUAAACCGCUUUCGCCUGUGACGAAGCGUGAGUGACGGUAAUGGGUAAAGAAGCACCGGCUAACUACGUGCCAGCAGCCGCGGUGAUACGUAGGGUGCGAGCGUUGUCCGGAUUUAUUGGGCGUAAAGGGCUCGUAGGUGGUUGAUCGCGUCGGAAGUGUAAUCUUGGGGCUUAACCCUGAGCGUGCUUUCGAUACGGGUUGACUUGAGGAAGGUAGGGGAGAAUGGAAUUCCUGGUGGAGCGGUGGAAUGCGCAGAUAUCAGGAGGAACACCAGUGGCGAAGGCGGUUCUCUGGGCCUUUCCUGACGCUGAGGAGCGAAAGCGUGGGGAGCGAACAGGCUUAGAUACCCUGGUAGUCCACGCUGUAAACGGUGGGUACUAGGUGUGGGGUCCAUUCCACGGGUUCCGUGCCGUAGCUAACGCUUUAAGUACCCCGCCUGGGGAGUACGGCCGCAUGGCUAAAACUCAAAGGAAUUGACGGGGCCCCGCACAAGCGGCGGAGCAUGCGGAUUAAUUCGAUGCAACGCGUAGAACCUUACCUGGGUUUGACAUGGAUCGGGAGUGCUCAGAGAUGGGUGUGCCUCUUUUGGGGUCGGUUCACAGGUGGUGCAUGCCUGUCGUCAGCUCGUGUCGUGAGAUGUUGGGUUAAGUCCCGCAACGAGCGCAACCCUUGUUCACUGUUGCCAGCACGUUAUGGUGGGGACUCAGUGGAGACCGCCGGGGUCAACUCGGAGGAAGGUGGGGAUGACGUCAAGUCCUCAUGCCCCUUAUGUCCAGGGCUUCACGCAUGCUACAAUGGCUGGUACAGAGAGUGGCGAGCCUGUGAGGGUGAGCGAAUCUCGGAAAGCCGGUCUCAGUUCGGAUUGGGGUCUGCAACUCGACCUCAUGAAGUCGGAGUCGCUAGUAAUCGCAGAUCAGCAACGCUGCGGUGAAUACGUUCCCGGG
rnacentral:rRNA from 1 species